AGUGAACGCUGGCGGUAGGCCUAACACAUGCAAGUCGAACGGCAGCACAGUAAGAGCUUGCUCUUACGGGUGGCGAGUGGCGGACGGGGGAGGAAUACAUCGGAAUCUACUUUUUCGUGGGGGAGAACGUAGGGAAACUUACGCUAAUACCGCAUACGACCUACGGGUGAAAGCAUGGGAUCUUCGGACCUUGCGCGAUUGAAUGAGCCGAUGUCGGAUUAGCUAGUUGGCGGGGUAAAGGCCCACCAAGGCGACGAUCCGUAGCUGGUCUGAGAGGAUGAUCAGCCAAACUGGAAAUGAGAAACGGUCCAGACUCCUACGGGAGGCAGCAGUGGGGAAUAUUGGACAAUGGGCGCAAGCCUGAUCCAGCCAUACCGCGUGGGUGAAGAAGGCCUUCGGGUUGUAAAGCCCUUUUGUUGGGAAAGAAAAGCAGCAGGUUAAUACCCCGCUGUUCUGACGGUACCCAAAGAAUAAGCACCGGCUAACUUCGUG
rnacentral:rRNA from 1 species